rnacentral:rRNA from 1 species
GACGAACGCUGGCGGCGUGCUUAACACAUGCAAGUCGAACGGGUCUGCCCUGUUUUUUGCGGGGUGGGUCAGUGGCGAACGGGUGAGUAACACGUGAGUAACCUGCCCCUCACUUCUGGAUAACCGCUUGAAAGGGUGGCUAAUACGGGGUGUUCUGGCUGUGCCGCAUGGUGUGGCUGGGAAAGAUUCACUUUUGUGGUGUUUUGGUGGGGGAUGGGCUCGCGGCCUAUCAGCUUGUUGGUGGGGUGAUGGCCUGCCAAGGCUUUGACGGGUAGCCGGCCUGAGAGGGUGGGCGGUCACACUGGGACUGAGAUACGGCCCAGACUGCGGCGGGAGGCAGCAGUGGGGGGUAUUGCACAAUGGGCGGAAGCCUGAUGCAGCGACGUCGCGUGAGGGAUGGAGGCCUUCGGGUUGUGAACCUCUUUCGCCGGUGAAGAAGGUCCUGCUCUUUGUGGUGGGGUUGACGGUAGCCGGGUUAUGAAGCGCCGGCUAACUACGUG